UACGUAGGUGGCGAGCGUUGUCCGGAUUUACUGGGCGUAAAGGGCGUGCAGGCGGUUUGUUAAGUCCGGGGUGAAAGCUCCCGGCUCAACUGGGAGAGGUCCUUGCAUACUGGCGAACUCGAGGGAGGCAGAGGAAAGUGGAAUUCCCGGUGUAGUGGUGAUAUGCGUAGAUAUCGGGAGGAACACCUGUGGCGAAGGCGGCUUUCUGGGCCUUAACUGACGCUGAGACGCGAAAGCGUGGGGAGCGAACCGG
rnacentral:rRNA from 1 species